rnacentral:rRNA from 1 species
CAGCCGCCGCGGGAAAACGAAGGGGGCUAGCGUUGUUCGGAAUUACUGGGCGUAAAGCGCACGUAGGCGGAUAUUUAAGUCAGGGGUGAAAUCCCAGAGCUCAACUCUGGAACUGCCUUUGAUACUGGGUAUCUUGAGUAUGGAAAAGGUGAGUGGAAUUCCGAGUGUAGAGGUGAAAUUCGUAGAUAUUCGGAGGAACACCAGUGGCGAAGGCGGCUCACUGGUCCAUUACUGACGCUGAGGUGCGAAAGCGUGGGGAGCAAACAGGAUUAGAUACCCCCGUAGUCCCUGUCUCUUAUAC